AGUGAUUUUUUUUUCUCUCUCAGGAUGAACGCUGGCGGCGUGCUAAUACAUGCAAGUCGAACGCUUUGUGGUUCAACUGAUUUGAAGAGCUUGCUCAGAUAUGACGAUGGACAUUGCAAAGAGUGGCGAACGGGUGAGUAACACGUGGGAAACCUACCUCUUAGCAGGGGAUAACAUUUGGAAACAGAUGCUAAUACCGUAUAACAAUAGCAACCGCAUGGUUGCUACUUAAAAGAUGGUUCUGCUAUCACUAAGAGAUGGUCCCGCGGUGCAUUAGUUAGUUGGUGAGGUAAUGGCUCACCAAGACGAUGAUGCAUAGCCGAGUUGAGAGACUGAUCGGCCACAAUGGGACUGAGACACGGCCCAUACUCCUACGGGAGGCAGCAGUAGGGAAUCUUCCACAAUGGGCGAAAGCCUGAUGGAGCAACGCCGCGUGUGUGAUGAAGGGUUUCGGCUCGUAAAACACUGUUGUAAGAGAAGAAUGACAUUGAGAGUAACUGUUCAAUGUGUGACGGUAUCUUACCAGAAAGGAACGGCUAAAUACGUGCCAGCAGCCGCGGUAAUACGUAUGUUCCAAGCGUUAUCCGGAUUUAUUGGGCGUAAAGCGAGCGCAGACGGUUAUUUAAGUCUGAAGUGAAAGCCCUCAGCUCAACUGAGGAAUUGCUUUGGAAACUGGAUGACUUGAGUGCAGUAGAGGAAAGUGGAACUCCAUGUGUAGCGGUGAAAUGCGUAGAUAUAUGGAAGAACACCAGUGGCGAAGGCGGCUUUCUGGACUGUAACUGACGUUGAGGCUCGAAAGUGUGGGUAGCAAACAGGAUUAGAUACCCUGGUAGUCCACACCGUAAACGAUGAGUGCUAGGUGUUUGAGGGUUUCCGCCCUUAAGUGCCGCAGCUAACGCAUUAAGCACUCCGCCGGGG
rnacentral:rRNA from 1 species